UCCCGAUUCCGCCUCCACGCUCCACCAAUCUUGAUCUCCCCGACCCGGCAAGGCCUCCCCGACUCGACAAGGCAAGACCACCAGGAGGUGAGGAGGUCCAAGACCACCAUGGCUUCACACCUCCAUCGGUGACCGGUCCACCCCCCCACCUCCAUCGAUAAGUUUCUUUAUUAUUUUUAUUUUUCGGCACCCCCCCACUCGG
rnacentral:lncRNA from 1 species